ensembl:snRNA U6 U6 spliceosomal RNA
AGCACAUGUGCUAAAUAAUAAAAUUGCGAAGAUACAGAGAAGAUUAACGUGCCCCUGAACAGGAAUGACAAGCAGAUUCAUGAAGCAUUCCAUAUUUUU